GAUGAACGCUGGCGGCGUGCCUAAUACAUGCAAGUCGAGCGACGAGCGGACGGGUGAGUAACACGUGGAUAACCUCCUCUAAGACUGGGAUAACUUAGGGAAACCGGAGCUAAACCGGCUUCUUCUAGAUGGAUCCACGGUGCAUUAGCUAGUUGGUAAGGGAACGGCUUACCAAGGCAACGAUUCAUAGCCGACCUGAGAGGGGGAUCGGCCACACUGGAACUGAGACACGGUCCAGAUUCCUACGGGAGGCAGCAGUAGGGAAUCUUCCGCAAGGGGCGAAAGCCUGACGGAGCAACGCCGCGUGAGUGAUGAAGGUCUUCGGAUCGUAAAGCUCUGUUAUUAGGGAGGCGGUACCUAAUCAGAAAGCCACGGCUAACUACGUGCCAGCAGCCGCGGUAAUAC
rnacentral:rRNA from 1 species